GGAGGCGUCGCAUAGUGGUCUAGUGCGUUCGCUUGGAAAGCGAAUAAGCCGUAACAGGCUUCAGAGGUUCGAAUCCUCUCGCCUCCG
rnacentral:tRNA from 1 species